rnacentral:sRNA from 20 species
GUCAACUACCCACCUGAGCUACUAACGGCAUCGGGAGGGCUAUUGCGAAAGCAGGUCAAGGUUGAUUAGCUUCAGCCACCAAUCUACGGGGAUUGACGGGGGCUACGUUAUACUUGUGAAGGUCAUAAAGUAACAUUUUGUACCAAGACCUGAC